UCGGUCUUGAUAUUUUAGUAUUAGUUUAUGGUUAUUAGUCAUGUCCAUGUCCAUGACUGCACUCCCUUGUCUACACUCAUCUCUGUUCUCGUGUAUUCAUGCCCAUUUUCUUUUGUAUCAUUGUCUCCCUCUGAUCACUGCACUCUCUUGUCCUGCACCUGCACUUCCUCAUCUCUGUUCGCCACGUGAGAUCGG